rnacentral:lncRNA from 1 species
UGAAAGAUCAAACAUUAAGAUUUUCGAUUGCAACAGUAGGUACGUACAUUGAUUUGGGUCAAGAAUAAGAAGCAAUUACAUAUUAAUGUACGGUUAUAGUACACAAUGGCAACAGUAGUAUCGAAAACUCUAUGUCAAUCGUUUCCUUUUACAAAAUGUCCAUUUUCUGUCCGUUUAUGCUUGAUUGGUGGAGGAUAAUUGUUGCUGAUUUGGUUUCUUAACAUUGUAAGUGUUAUUGUCUUGAGUGUUGAUGGAGAUGGAUUAUUGAUCUAUUAUGUUUUCUGUCAUUUGGAGAUGUAACUUCGGUAGCUUGGUACAUGUUAUUUAUUUUAUGUUGUUUGCUAACUUUUGUUUUAAGACUUAAGUACUUAUCUGCUUGGUAUUCAUUUGACUUUUGUUUUUCAUUUGCAUCAGGUUUUUUUUUUUAAAUAAUCUGGGGCUGGAAUUUAAAAUUGAAUUAGGAUUUUUUUUUGUAAUCCGAAUUGCAAUCUGAACUGAAAUUCAAACCCGAAUUUUUUAUCCAAAUCGAAAUUUAAUACAAAACUAAACUGAAUUUAAUUUGGUUUGAAUUUGAAUUUCAAAUUCAUUUGGGCUGAAUUUUGCAACUCGAAAGGAAAACUCGAUUUAUGCAACCCCAAUUUUUCACACCCACAUAUUAAAUAAUUCACUACAUAUAAAAAGAUUAUGAUAAUUGGUUAUAUUUUUAUAUAUUUGCAACUCCCACGUCCCACCACAUGCUGUUAAAUCUUAGGUAAUUAAACUUGCUUAGCAAAGUCGACAUCUCCUUCUUUGAUAUUAAUUAUUAAAGCGUGUCUAUAGAAUAGAUUAGGUCCGUUAGGAUGAGAAAGACAUAAAGGGUUAGUUGUUUUAGACAAAAAGCCCAACAUUGAUUGUCACUAUUGCUUCCUCUUCAAUUCGCAAUUCAUGACACACUGCUUGUGCUUGCAUACGGUUUAGUUCAUCAAGCCGCUGAAGUACAAAUUGUAAGUCCUUUAUAUAGCUGUUUUCAACUGAUUUUGGGGUAGGAAAAUUCAAAAUCUAUUUUAAACAAUGAAUUUAUAUUUUUGGGGGAGAUGAGGUACCUCACUAGUUUAUUGUGUAUGGCGCGGUGUAUUUGAAAUUCGGAGGAGGUGAGAAGGGGAGAGAGAGUGGUAACAAUGGUGGAAGGUCAGAAACAAGAGAGGUGUCCCUCAAAAUGAGCUUCACGCCUGCAAAACAGUGAAAUAGAGGUUAGAGGUGAAGCCGGGGUACCCCGGCGUUCAUACUCCGACGCUCAAGUUAGCAAACUCAAGCUUUUAUGGGAAAGAGAGCUGGCUCGAGUGUGAGUGUUUUUUUGGGCGAAUGAAAGCAUGAUGGAGAAUGAAACCUAGGCGCCUUUAUAUAUGGAGUACCUCAGCUGCCACGUGGCGUACCCUUUUUUGGCAAACGUCCUUUUACCUCUUUAUAAUUUUUUGGGCCGUUAUCUGCAUGUUCGCGGUGUAUCUCAUCUUUUGGAAAUGUGGCGCGAGCUGGAGAGUGGUCCAGGGUACCUCUGCAGUAGCUGUCGAGUAGGCGGUUGGGGACCACUGUCCUUGGGACAUUGUCCUUCACUUUUGGCAGAGGUCGCAGGCGGCUGUCCCUCCUUUUAGGGUGUCGUUUUUUAUGGGUAAAAGCUCGUUUAGUCCUUAUAUUUUGAAGUUAGUAUCCGUUUAGUCCUUAUAUUUUUUAAAAUACCUCAAAUCAUCCCUACCAUUAAAUUAUUGACACUUUUGCCAUUAUCUUUUGUUCCUUUUAACUUAUUUUUAUAAAUUGCCCUUUUAUAAUAAUUUUUUUAGAAAUUAUUAAAAAGAAAAAAAUAAUUUACCAGUUUAACACCAAAAAAUAAAAUAAAAUAAAAAAUAUAUAUUAAUUUUUGUGGAACACACUCUUGAGUUAAAAUAUUAAUUUUUCUAAAAAAAAUGAUAAUGUAAUUUUUUAGACAUAUGUGAGCUUCCACAAAAAUUAAUAUAUACCUUUUUUGUUUUUAUUUUAUUUUUGAGUUUAAUUUGAUAAUUUAAUUUUUUAUUAAUAUCCAAAAAAGAAACAUUAUUGUAAAAGUGUAAUAUUGUAAAAACAAGUUAAAAAUAAUAAAAAAUAAUGGCAUGAGUGUCAAUAUUUAGUAGCAGGGACGUUUUAAGGUGUUUGUAAAAAUACAGGGACUAAAUGGACAUUACUGCUGUACCGUACAUCCGCCUUGGCCGUACAGCAGCUUGGCAUUGGUUUGUUUGCCUUCUUUUUUUUUUUUCAAAGAUACAAAACCAGAACAGUGUUCGAAAGUGUGUACCCGUCAUAAAUUUUUGCUAUAAAAAAUUUGGUAAAUUAAUUUAAAAACAACAACAUGGUGGUGUAUGAAAGAUCAAACAUUAAGAUUUUCGAUUGCAACAGUAGGUACGUACAUUGAUUUGGGUCAAGAAUAAGAAGCAAUUACAUAUUAAUGUACGGUUAUAGUACACAAUGGCAACAGUAGUAUCGAAAACUCUAUGUCAAUCGUUUCCUUUUACAAAAUGUCCAUUUUCUGUCCGUUUAUGCUUGAUUGGUGGAGGAUAAUUGUUGCUGAUUUGGUUUCUUAACAUUGUAAGUGUUAUUGUCUUGAGUGUUGAUGGAGAUGGAUUAUUGAUCUAUUAUGUUUUCUGUCAUUUGGAGAUGUAACUUCGGUAGCUUGGUACAUGUUAUUUAUU